rnacentral:rRNA from 1 species
UACGAAGGGGGCUAGCGUUGCUCGGAAUCACUGGGCGUAAAGCGCACGUAGGCGGCUUUGUAAGUCAGGGGGGAAAUCCUGGAGCUCAACUCCAGAACUGCCUUUGAUACUGGAGAGCUUGAGUCCGGAAGAGGUGAGUGGAACUCCGAGUGUAGAGGUGAAAUUCGUAGAUAUUCGGAAGAACACCAGUGGCGAAGGCGGCUCACUGGUCCGGUACUGACGCUGAGGUGCGAAAGCGUGGGGAGCAAACAGG